CCGUAGCCCAAGAGAUCGGGAUAACACCUGGAAACAGAUGCUAAUACCGGAUAACAACAGAUGAUGCCUAUCAACUGUUUAAAAGAUGGUUCUGCUAUCACUCUUGGAUGGACCUGCGGUGCAUUAGCUAGUUGGUAGGGUAACGGCCUACCAAGGCGAUGAUGCAUAGCCGAGUUGAGAGACUGAUCGGCCACAUUGGGACUGAGACACGGCCCAAACUCCUACGGGAGGCAGCAGAU
rnacentral:rRNA from 1 species